rnacentral:rRNA from 1 species
GCUUGUCUCAAAGAUUAAGCCAUGCAUGUCUCAGUAUAAGUUCCUGUACGGCGAAACUGCGAAUGGCUCAUUAAAACAGUUACAGUUUAUUUGAUGGUCGUUCCUUACAUGGAUAACUGUGGUAAUUCUAGAGCUAAUACAUGCACCCGUGCCCGACUUUGUGGAAGGGUUGUGUUUAUUAGUUACAGAACCAGCCCAGGCUCUGCCUGGUCUUGUGGUGAUUCAUAAUAACUGUUCGGAUCGUAUGGCUUUUUGCCGACGACAGAUCAUUCAAAUUUCUGCCCUAUCAGCUUUCGACGGUACUGUAGUGGACUACCGUGGCAUUAACGGGUGACGGAGAAUUAGGGUUCGAUUCCGGAGAGGGAGCCUGAGAAAUGGCUACCACAUCCAAGGAAGGCAGCAGG